UACGUAGGUGACAAGCGUUGUCCGGAUUUACUGGGCGUAAAGAGCGCGCAGGCGGUCGAUCAAGUCGAGUGUGAAAGCCCCCGGCUCAACUGGGGAGGGUCAUUCGAUACUGCCGUGCUUGAGGACUGGAGAGGAGACUGGAAUUUACGGUGUAGCGGUGAAAUGCGUAGAUAUCGUAAGGAAGACCAGUGGCGAAGGCGGGUCUCUGGACAGUUCCUGACGCUGAGGCACGAAGGCCAGGGGAGCAAACGGG
rnacentral:rRNA from 1 species